CUUUUAUUUUAGGGGGCUGCCGUAUAUUGACUGUACAAAGGUAGCAUAAUCAAUAGUCUUUUAAUUGAAAACUUGUAUGAAUGAUUUAAUGAAAUAUAAACUGUCUCUUUAUUAAAAUUAGAAUUUAAUUUUUUAGUCAAAAAGCUAAAAUAAAUUUAAAAGACGAGAAGACCCUAUAGAGUUUUAUAUUUUUUAGUAUUUUAAUUUUAUAUAAAAUUUUAAAUUAAAAUAUUAAUAAAUAUUUUAUUGGGGUGAUAUAAAAAUUAAAAUAACUUUUUAAAAAAUUAAACAUUAAUUUAUGAGUAUUUGAUCCAUAAUUUAUGAUUAAAAAAAAAAAUUACCUUAGGGAUAACAGCGUUUUUUUUUCUUUUAGUUCAAAUAAAAGUUAAAGUUUGCGACCUCGAUGUUGGAUUAAAAUAAAAUUUAAAAGCAAAAUUUUAAAAUUUUGAUCUGUUCGAUCAUUAAAAUCUUACAUGAUCUGAGUUCAAACCGGGCGGC
rnacentral:rRNA from 1 species